GCAGGCGCGUAAUUACCCACUCCCAGAUCGGGGAGGUAGUGACGAAAAAUAACGAUGCGGGACUCUUUAGAGGCCCCGUAAUUGGAAUGAGUACACUUUAAAUCCGUUAACGAGUAUCAAUUGGAGGGCAAGUCUGGUGCCAGCAGCCGCGGUAAUUCCAGCUCCAAUAGCGUAUAUUAAAGUUGUUGCAGUUAAAAAGCUCGUAGUUGGAUCUAAGGACUCGAAGCUUGCGUGCAUCUUUGAUGUUACGGAAGUUUUGGCCUACAUCGUCGUUGCAUGCAUUUGAUGAUCUUUACCGAUUGUCUUUUGUAGCCGACAAGUUUACUUUGAAAAAAUUAGAGUGCUUAAAGCAGGCAAGUGCCUGAAUACUGUUGCAUGGAAUAAUGAAAUAGGACUUUGUUUCUAUUUUAUUGGUUUUAGGAAACGAAGUAAUGAUUAACAGGGACAGACGGGGGCAUUUGUAUGCCGGCGUUAGAGGUGAAAUUCUUAGACCGCCGGCAGACAAUCAACUGCGAAAGCAUUUGCCAAGAAUGUCUUCAUUAAUCAAGAACGAAAGUCAGAGGUUCGAAGACGAUCAGAUACCGUCCUAGUUCUGACCAUAAACUAUGCCAACUGACGAUUCGUGAUGGUAUAUAAAUCUUCCACGCGAGCAGUCACCGGGAAACCGAAAGUUUUUUGGUUCCGGGGGAAGUAU
rnacentral:rRNA from 1 species